GUCCCCGUAGUUCAACGGAUAGAACGAGGGUUUCCUAAACCUUAAAUACAGGUUCGAUUCCUGUCGGGGACACCA
rnacentral:tRNA from 1 species